GAUGAACGCUGGCGGCGUGCCUAAUACAUGCAAGUCGAGCGAACGGACGAGAAGCUUGCUUCUCUGAUGUUAGCGGCGGACGGGUGAGUAACACGUGGAUAACCUACCUAUAAGACUGGGAUAACUUCGGGAAACCGGAGCUAAUACCGGAUAAUAUUUUGAACCGCAUGGUUCAAAAGUGAAAGACGGUCUUGCUGUCACUUAUAGAUGGAUCCGCGCUGCAUUAGCUAGUUGGUAAGGUAACGGCUUACCAAGGCAACGAUGCAUAGCCGACCUGAGAGGGUGAUCGGCCACACUGGAACUGAGACACGGUCCAGACUCCUACGGGAGGCAGCAGUAGGGAAUCUUCCGCAAUGGGCGAAAGCCUGACGGAGCAACGCCGCGUGAGUGAUGAAGGUCUUCGGAUCGUAAAACUCUGUUAUUAGGGAAGAACAUAUGUGUAAGUAACUGUGCACAUCUUGACGGUACCUAAUCAGAAAGCCACGGCUAACUACGUGCCAGCAGCCGCGGUAAUACGUAGGUGGCAAGCGUUAUCCGGAAUUAUUGGGCGUAAAGCGCGCGUAGGCGGUUUUUUAAGUCUGAUGUGAAAGCCCACGGCUCAACCGUGGAGGGUCAUUGGAAACUGGAAAACUUGAGUGCAGAAGAGGAAAGUGGAAUUCCAUGUGUAGCGGUGAAAUGCGCAGAGAUAUGGAGGAACACCAGUGGCGAAAGCGACUUUCUGGUCUGUAACUGACGCUGAUGUGCGAAAGCGUGGGGAUCAAACAGGAUUAGAUACCCUGGUAGUCCACGCCGUAAACGAUGAGUGCUAAGUGUUAGGGGGUUUCCGCCCCUUAGUGCUGCAGCUAACGCAUUAAGCACUCCGCCUGGGGAGUACGACCGCAAGGUUGAAACUCAAAGGAAUUGACGGGGACCCGCACAAGCGGUGGAGCAUGUGGUUUAAUUCGAAGCAACGCGAAGAGCCUUACCAAAUCUUGACAUCCCUUGACAACUCUAGAGAUAGAGCUUUCCCCUUCGGAGGACAAAGUGACAGGUGGUGCAUGGUUGUCGUCAGCUCGUGUCGUGAGAUGUUGGGUUAAGUCCCGCAACGAGCGCAACCCUUAAGCUUAGUUGCCAUCAUUAAGUUGGGCACUCUAAGUUGACUGCCGGUGACAAACCGGAGGAAGGUGGGGAUGACGUCAAAUCAUCAUGCCCCUUAUGAUUUGGGCUACACACGUGCUACAAUGGACAAUACAAAGGGCAGCGAAACCGUGAGGUCAAGCAAAUCCCAUAAAGUUGUUCUCAGUUCGGAUUGUAGUCUGCAACUCGACUACAUGAAGCUGGAAUCGCUAGUAAUCGUAGAUCAGCAUGCUACGGUGAAUACGUUCCCGGGUCU
rnacentral:rRNA from 1 species